AAACCGGCAUUAGUCUUUAAAGACUUAUUUUUAGCCUUUUUUGAAGUUCGGUCAGUAUUGUCAGAAAAAGGCCUAAAAAUUAGUCUUUUUUUGGGCCUAAAUUUUAGGCUUUUUUUAGAACUUAGUGCAAAACUUAGAAAAAGACUAAAUUUAAGGCUUUUCUGUACUACAAACUUUGGUUCACGAUUUGACAUGUCAAAUCAGAAAAAGUUGAAGUUGCCGGUGGUGGUUGCUGUUCGUCGGACAGGGGCAGGAUUUUGGCCAGUUUGCAGGUUAAAGCUGAACACAUCCGUGAAUCUGUCGUAUUCCGAAACUACCGAAUUACCGAAUAAAAACAUUUUUAUAUAUAUUUAAAUAAUAAAUAACAAUAUUUUA